rnacentral:lncRNA from 1 species
UUUUUCUUUUUUUUUUUUUUUUGAGACAUAGUCUAACUAUGUCUCCUUCUUUGGUCUGGAACUCACUGUGUACAUUGGGUUGGUAUUGAAGUCAGAUACUUGUGCAUGUCUGCCUCUCAGCUAUUGGGGUGAAAGGUGUGUGCUGACAGACAAUGCUGGAAACAUUUUGAUGAAGCUACUUAUCAUAGUGCUCCAGCCAUUCCACACUGAAGCAAUUGUCUGGUCAUGGGAUUAGUUGCUUUGACUUACAUAAAGCAGUCUUCGUGGGUCACUUGCUCUUCACUGUAGUCAGAGACCUGAGGCUUUGUUGCCUCCUCCCUCUCUUCAUUUCUCUACAAGUAUGCAGACUGCUAAGUAUAGCCAUGUCUUCCUCCUUCCUUCAUAAAGAGAAGUGUAUCAUCUGUAUGUGUGUUUAUCUGUCUAUCUAUCUGUCUGUCUAAUUGUCUUUACUGGUAAUUUUUCAGCUACCUGCUAUACCCCCAUCAUCUUCUGAAGUUCUUUUGUAUGAUAACCUCUCUCAAUUCUUGCUCAAAAAUAAAAGCCUUUUCAAAUGCCCGAUUAUCAAGCCUUUCAAUCUCAUUAAACAUUUUGGUUUUCUCAAAUAUCUCAGGAAAGUUAUACCUCUUUAUUAUCUAAUAUAAAUAGCUUGCAUAUACCUACUGUCUUCUUUGCUUUGUUGUAAACUUAGGUUGAUGGCUGUAUUUAUUAUGCCUUGUACUUUAUAUGAACUUCAACUUGUUGUGUCUGGGCAUUUUGGAUGGCAUGGCACUUCUGGCUUAAUAUAUUAUGAACUAAUUUUACCCUGAAAUGUAAGUGGACAUGCAUUUUCGGCUCUUCAUUAUAAAAUUACCAGUUCCUUGGCAAUACUUACACCAUUGGCUAGAUUUCCUUCAUCUUUCUUUCCUGUGGGGUCUGCCUUACAAGUCCUCUUUCAGCCAUUCCUUCUUUGAUAGCCCGAGUGUUAUUCUAAGCCAUCCUCCAAUUAACUCCAUCUAGUUAUAUUUGUGGACUCUAUUCUUUGUUCCUCCUUACCUUAGUCUAAAUUUGGGCCCUUGUUGUUCACUCUUCCCUUAUUAAGUAUCCUAGAACGACUCUUGUUAUGUCAGCAGAACUUCCAGACUGCUUGAGUAAUGACCCUGUACCUUGGUGUCUUGUGCACUGUGGCUGAUGUUCAUUGUGUGCUGAUGCCAGUCAGGCACAGGUGUCUCUAGCACACAGACCAUCAUUUGAGUCAAGUUAACCAUGUACCGUCUCCCAGAUGUACUGCAUGUUCUUGGCUCUGUGGCAUUAUUGCCUCUGCUUUCAGACUGCCUUGGUCAGUCUUGACCUUGCAAAUUAAUCUGACUCCUAUGGGUUAGAAAGCCACUACACCUGCCCCACACCUCAUUAGAUCUUGGCACUAGUAGAGAACUUUCUGAGCCAAAAAGUAAGAAAAUGGUGGAAUCUUAGCCAUGUUCCAGCCCAUCUCCUGAAAUAAAUAUCAUGUACACUUCUGACUAUACAACAAACUUAACAAAUAUUUGUUGAGGUAGUUACAACAAAAACUAAUAAUCAAAAUAAAUGAAAUAAUUGCCCUCAAGUUACUUUCAUCUCCUCCCCAUCUACCCUGAAAAUUGAGAAAGGCAGAUUAAACUGUACACAAAGGUUGAGUUCUUUUGAAUACAGUUAAAUGCAGAACAUAUUAUUUUAAAUGGCUUGAAAUGAUGACAUGACC